rnacentral:rRNA from 1 species
GACGAACGCUGGCGGCGUGCUUAACACAUGCAAGUCGAACGGAGUGGCGAACGGGUGAGUAACACGUGGGUGACCUGCCCUGCCCUUCGGGAUAAGCCUGGGCAACUGGGUCUAAUACCGGAUAGUGUGGGAUGGGCCCGCGGCCGAUCAGCUUGUUGGUGGGGUAAUGGCCUACCAAGGCGGCGACGGGUAGCCGGCCUGAGAGGGUGGACGGCCAAAGUGGGAAUGAGACACGGCCGAGACAACUACGGGAGGCAGCAGUGGGGGAGAUUGCACGAGGGGCGGAAGCAGGAUGCAGCGAGGAGGCGUGGGGGAUGACGGCCUUCGGGUUGUAAACACCUUUCACCAUCGACGCGGUAGAUGGAGAAGAAGCACCGGCUAACUACGUGCCAGCAGCCGCGGUAAUUC